AUACGUAGGGGGCAAGCGUUAUCCGGAUUUACUGGGUGUAAAGGGAGUGUAGGUGGCCGUGCAAGUCAGAUGUGAAAUCCCGGGGCUCAACCCCGUGACUGCAUUUGAAACUGCGUGGCUGGAGUGCAGGAGAGGUAAGCGGAAUUCCUAGUGGAGCGGUGAAAUGCGUAGAUAUUAGGAGGAACACCGGUGGCGAAGGCGGCUUACUGGACGGUAACGUACACUGAGGCUCGAAAGCGGGGGGAGCAAACAGGAUUGGGUCCCCUGGGAGGCCACGCCGGAAACGAUGAAUACUUGGUGUCGGGGGGCAUCCGCCCCUCGGUGCCGCAGCUAACGCAAUAAGUAUUCCACCUGGGGAGUACGUUCGCAAGAAUGAAACUCAAAUGAAUUGACGGGG
rnacentral:rRNA from 1 species